CUGCCAUGUACACACUGUAGCUGCUAAGGUUAGCGUUUUUAGUAGUCAUUUGAUAAAGUUGUACAUGCCCGCAUAGGUAUUUGCACUGGUAUUAUGAUAUAGUGGAAACAAGAUGCUUUUUAAUAAACCAAUUAGUAUUUUAUUCUCUUUGUUCACAUCCAGUAAAUGGCAACAUGAGGAUCGUUUGGUUCCUUUUUAGCCUGACCCUGGAGAUUCACACCAAACAUACUUAUGACAUUUGAGCAUAAUUCAUGUUUUUUCUACAGUGAUAAAAAUGUUCCAUUGUCUAUACUUUGAAACACAUUCAAGCACACACGCAAACAUUGUCACAGCCAUCACGUGGACAGCAAAAUAAAUAAGAUAAGUGUAGAGGUGAUCUGAGGGCUCUGGGGGGGAGGGGCUUAAAGCGAAGUGUCUCUACAUCUGGAGUGCUUUGGACAAGGACUGGGCUAGCUGAGCGUACAACUGGAGCAAAGGCCAACAAUGUCCUACACCAGUUCUAAUCUUUGAGGAUUAUUGCAAAAUUGUUCUGACUACGAUCUAAAUAUCGAAAUGCAGCUAAAAUGUUUUUCUCAUAAUUGUGGGAUGCUACAAGUGCUAUCCAGUCAAGAUGUCAUGUGUUAGAGAUGUUCUCCUUGGUCAAAGUAUUCUGCUUAUUUACAUAUCUAAAUGACUAAAAAAUAACUGAAUAAUUGGAGCUUGUGUUAAAUAGGGCUGUAGUUGACUAAAGAAAGUGUUAGCAAGGGAUGGUGCUGGCAAAUGUUUUCAAAAUUAUUAGGAUCUCAUGCGAAAAAAAACAACAACUACUAUGUAAUAUACAGAGAAAUACCAGCAGACAGCAUGUGAAAAGCAAAAUGAAGGCAGAUUCUAUUGUUCAGUCACUCCCCAAACUGCAUCUCCUUUUUGCCGUUGCCAAUACAAAUCCUUAUGAUAUUAAGAAAAUAAUUAGUCAAAUAAUAUAUGUAAUUACUAAGACUCCACUGACCGAUUAAAUAACUAAAGGACACAGCCUGAAUGUUUUUGCCAUUAGGUAAAACAACUAGUUAACAUAUUUCAGAUACAGUACUGAAACUAGUGGACAGACCUUGGCCUUUGCUAGCAGCUAAACUCAGCCGGCUUCAUCCAUUAAAGGCUUGAGAUCUGAACAUGGAGGUUAAGUGCUUAUCCUGCUUUGAAUCUCAACACAACAUUCAUUACUUUUGAUCAUGUACACAUACAAAUGACUGCUCCAUAUGACCCAGUCGAUGUGAGCGCACAACACGAGGACACACACACAUACGAGAAGGGCUGAUGCAUUAUGGGAAGACUGAAGGUGUCCGGCCCGGUCUCCAGCUCUGAUCCGUAACAGUACAGCAGCUCUAUGGGGCAAAUGUAGUAAAUGCUUCUCUCCUUUUUUCAAGCGCAAUUCCCUCUAUGUACAAAUCUUUACAAAAGUUUUUACUUUUUUGUCAUCCAGAAGAGGUCCAUGUGAGGCAAAGUUCAUCCAGUGAAGUCUACUGUCCCCAACACCCUGCUGUCAAUCAAACUGGAACUGAAAACAUCAUCCACUCACAAAAAACUAUCUUUGGUCACAAAAUGGACAAUAAUGACAUUCAGGAAUUAUGCUCCUUUCACUAUGAUGCUUUAGAGAGGCUUGUAGUUCACUCAGAGCUCUCCUCCUCUUCCUCUUCCUCUCUCUCUGAUUGGCUCUGGUCCGUGUGCCCCCGUCCCCUUUGUUCCUGGUCCUGGCAGUAUUGCAGCAGCAGCCUAUGGAGGUGCUGUUGUAAUACGUCUGGUUGCAGGGCGUGGGGGGUGUCGUCUUCUCUCUCUAGGUGCACCUGCUUGCCUCGCUCAUCCCUCACCACGGUCCUCUUCUGGGUGCGCGCCUUAUGCAUUUGGCUUCUGUGGGAAUGGACAUAACAGAGUUGGUUUAGGUACAUCAAAGUAUAGUAUUGCAUUAGGGCUGUGCAAUUAAUACAAUUUUAAUCAAGCUCAUUGCUAAUAAUCAGUGAUCAACUUGGGUCUUUUUAAUGGAGAGGUCCACAGCCUAUUCUCUAUCAGUAAAAGUAUAUGGUUUGGACCAGAG
ensembl:lncRNA